UUCUAUACAUGAGAUUUAAGGUGUUUGCCAAACAUAGAAACAAGCACCCACCAUAUUAGUGUUAGGAAUUCUCUCAUCUCAUGUGUGUGUGUGUGUGUGUAUGAAUAAUUCUUUAGAUCUGUAGAGUACCUUGGAGAUUGUUUUGACCUCAUGAUACAUCUUUAGAUCUACAGUGCAUCUUGGAUCUUGUUUUGACCUCAUGAUACAUCUUUAGAUCUACAGUGCAUCUUGGAUCUUGUUUUGACCUCAUGUCAUAAUAGUAACCUUCCAUUGAUUCUGACAUGCUGUUCUAGUAGCAGUAAGGUUUUCCAUGUAGUGUUAAUAAUAAUAUUUACUAUGGAGC
rnacentral:lncRNA from 1 species